rnacentral:lncRNA from 1 species
GUGGUUCCUACAGAGAAGGGUGGCAAGAAGGGCUGUUCUGCCAUCAAUGAGGUGGUGACCCGAGAAUAUGCCAUCAGCGUCCACAAGCCCAUCCAUGGAGUGGGAUUCAAGAAGCAUACCCCUCAGAGCACUCAAAGAGAUCCGGAAGUGUGCCACAAAGGAAAUGCGCGUUGAUACCAGCCUCUACAAAGCUGUCGGGGCCAGGCGAAUAAAGGAUGUCCCAUGUCUUAUCCAUAAGCAGUAGUCCAGAAAACAUAGCGAGGAUGAAAAUUCACCAAACGAGCUCUUAUACUUUGGUUACCUAUGUACCUGUUACCACUUGCAGAAAUCAACAGACA